CGGUCUGUUUUCCGUUCGUUGUUACGGUGAAAAUGAAGAUUGAAGAAUGAAAAUCGGGAACGUUAACAGACUAUUAAUCGGGAAAGCGCGAAUUAAAACUAAUUAAAUGCCCGGCAGUAAUAAAACGGAAAGAUAUUUCAAUGUGAUUUAUGGAACGUAAUAUUUCGACGAAACACGCGAACAGUUAAAGGUGAAGGUGAUACGCGGUACUACUGUGGGUUUAAUUAAAAUAAUGACGAUCGACGGACGCUGGGAUCCUCCGAUAACAGUAGAAAUACGCGGGUAAAUCUAUUCUGGCGUGGAUCGAACACUGCGUGAGAAGAUGCAAUUUUUGGGAGAUGGACGAUAUCAGCUGCACUCGCUGAAUUCACGUGUGAAACUGAUGUCUCAGGUUCGACAAAGACGCAGAAAUCUUAUCUAGCCGAUAACAAAGAGACGCAGUGUCAACAGGCAGAUGGGUUCCUCCGUUCGGAUUCAGGCAUCGUCGAUCAAAGUCGGGACAGUUCGAGAAGUAUGGAGGAGUGUGAGGAGGUUGUGGGUCUCUGGCCUCGCU